rnacentral:rRNA from 1 species
CAUUAGCUAGUUGGUGAGGUAACGGCUCACCAAGGCCACGAUGCAUAGCCGACCUGAGAGGGUGAUCGGCCACAUUGGGACUGAGACACGGCCCAAACUCCUACGGGAGGCAGCAGUAGGGAAUCUUCGGCAAUGGACGAAAGUCUGACCGAGCAACGCCGCGUGAGUGAAGAAGGUUUUCGGAUCGUAAAACUCUGUUGUUAGAGAAGAACAAGGAUGAGAGUAACUGUUCAUCCCUUGACGGUAUCUAACCAGAAAGCCACGGCUAACUACGUGCCAGCAGCCGCGGUAAUACGUAGGUGGCAAGCGUUGUCCGGAUUUAUUGGGCGUAAAGCGAGCGCAGGCGGUUUCUUAAGUCUGAUGUGAAAGCCCCCGGCUCAACCGGGGAGGGUCAUUGGAAACUGGGAGACUUGAGUGCAGAAGAGGAGAGUGGAAUUCCAUGUGUAGCGGUGAAAUGCGUAGAUAUAUGGAGGAACACCAGUGGCGAAGGCGGCUCUCUGGUCUGUAACUGACGCUGAGGCUCGAAAGCGUGGGGAGCAAACAGGAUUAGAUACCCUGGUAGUCCACGCCGUAAACGAUGAGUGCUAAGUGUUGGAGGGUUUCCGCCCUUCAGUGCUGCAGCUAACGCAUUAAGCACUCCGCCUGGGGAGUACGACCGCAAGGUUGAAACUCAAAGGAAUUGACGGGGGCCCGCACAAGCGGUGGAGCAUGUGGUUUAAUUCGAAGCAACGCGAAGAACCUUACCAGGUCUUGACAUCCUUUGACCACUCUAGAGAUAGAGCUUCCCCUUCGGGGGCAAAGUGACAGGUGGUGCAUGGUUGUCGUCAGCUCGUGUCGUGAGAUGUUGGGUUAAGUCCCGCAACGAGCGCAACCCUUAUUGUUAGUUGCCAUCAUUCAGUUGGGCACUCUAGCAAGACUGCCGGUGACAAACCGGAGGAAGGUGGGGAUGACGUCAAAUCAUCAUGCCCCUUAUGACCUGGGCUACACACGUGCUACAAUGGGAAGUACAACGAGUUGCGAAGUCGCGAGGCUAAGCUAAUCUCUUAAAGCUUCUCUCAGUUCGGAUUGCAGGCUGCAACUCGCCUGCAUGAAGCCGGAAUCGCUAGUAAUCGCGGAUCAGCACGCCGCGGUGAAUACGUUCCCGGGCCUUGUACACACCGCCCGUCACACCACGAGAGUUUGUAACACCCGAAGUCGGUGAGGUAACCUUUUGGAGCCAGCCGCCUAAGGUGGGAUAGAUGAUUGGGGUGAAGUCGUAACAAGGUAGCCGUAUCGGAAGGUGCGGCUGGAUCACCUCCUUU